rnacentral:rRNA from 1 species
GCAGCAGUAAGGAAUAUUGCGCAAUGGGCGACAGCCUGACGCAGCGACGCCGCGUGGGGGAUGAAGGUCUUCGGAUUGUAAACCCCUUUCGGCAGGGAAGAUGGAACGGGUAACCGUUCGGACGGUACCUGCAGAAGCAGCCACGGCUAACUUCGUGCCAGCAGCCGCGGUAAUACGAAGGUGGCAAGCGUUGUUCGGAUUUACUGGGCGUACAGGGAGCGUAGGCGGUUGGGUAAGCCCUCCGUGAAAUCUCCGGGCCUAACCCGGAAAGUGCGGAGGGGACUGCUCGGCUAGAGGAUGGGAGAGGAGCGCGGAAUUCCCGGUGUAGCGGUGAAAUGCGUAGAGAUCGGGAGGAAGGCCGGUGGCGAAGGCGGCGCUCUGGAACAUAUCUGACGCUGAGGCUCGAAAGCGUGGGGAGCAAACAGGAUUAGAUAC